GCCAUCGCUCAACGGAUAAAAGGUACUCCGGGGAUAACAGGCUGAUACCGCCCAAGAGUUCAUAUCGACGGCGGUGUUUGGCACCUCGAUGUCGGCUCAUCACAUCCUGGGGCUGAAGUAGGUCCCAAGGGUAUGGCUGUUCGCCAUUUAAAGUGGUACGCGAGCUGGGUUUAGAACGUCGUGAGACAGUUCGGUCCCUAUCUGCCGUGGGCGCUGGAGAACUGAGGGGGGCUGCUCCUAGUACGAGAGGACCGGAGUGGACGCAUCACUGGUGUUCGGGUUGUCAUGCCAAUGGCACUGCCCGGUAGCUAAAUGCGGAAGAGAUAAGUGCUGAAAGCAUCUAAGCACGAAACUUGCCCCGAGAUGAGUUCUCCCUGACUCCUUGAGAGUCCUGAAGGAACGUUGAAG
rnacentral:rRNA from 1 species